rnacentral:rRNA from 1 species
CCUACGGGAGGCUGCAGUAGGGAAUCUUCCACAAUGGGCGAAAGCCUGAUGGAGCAACGCCGCGUGGGUGAAGAAGGUCUUCGGAUCGUAAAACCCUGUUGUUAGAGAAGAAAGUGCGGGAGAGUAACGGUUCACGUUUCGACGGUAUCUAACCAGAAAGCCACGGCUAACUACGUGCCAGCAGCCGCGGGAAUACGUAGGUGGCAAGCGUUAUCCGGAUUUAUUGGGCGUAAAGGGAACGCAGGCGGUCCUUUAAGGCUGAUGUGAAAGCCUUCGGCUUAACCGGAGUAGUGCAUUGGAAACUGGGAGACUUGAGUGCAGGAGAGGAGAGUGGAA